ACUGCCGACCGACCUUGAUCUUCUGAGAAGGGUUCGAGUGGGAGUAUGCCUKUCGGGACCCNNAAGAUGGUKAACUAUGCCUGAGCGAGGUGAAGCCAGAGGAAACUCUGGUGGAGGCCCGNAGCGAUACUGACGUGCAAAUCGUUCGUCUGACUUGGGUAUAGGGGCGAAAGACUAAUCGAACCG
rnacentral:rRNA from 1 species